rnacentral:rRNA from 1 species
AAACCAACAGGGAUUGCCCCAGUAACGGCGAGUGAGCGGCAGAGCUCAAAUUUGAAAUCUGGCCUCCCCCGGGGGUCCGAGUUGUAAUUUGCAGAGGAUGCUUCGGGCGCGGCCCCCGUCUAAGUUCCUUGGAACAGGACGUCAGAGAGGGUGAGAAUCCCGUCUUGGGCGGGCGGCCCGCGCCCGUGUGAAGCUCCUUCGACGAGUCGAGUUGUUUGGGAAUGCAGCUCUGAGCGGGUGGUAAAUUUCAUCUAAAGCUAAAUACCGGCCGGAGACCGAUAGCGCACAAGUAGAGUGAUCGAAAGGUUAAAAGCACCUUGAAAAGGGAGUUAAACAGCACGUGAAAUUGUUGAAAGGGAAGCGCUUGCGGCCAGACUCGGGGGGCGGGGUUCAGCGGGCGCUCGUCGCCCGUGCACUGCCCGCUCCCCGGGCCAGCAUCAGCUUCGACGGCCGGUCAAAGGCCCCCGGAAUGUGUCGUCUCUAGGGACGUCUUAUAGCCGGGGGUGCAAUGCGGCCCGUCGAGACUGAGGAACGCGCUCCGGCUCGGAUGCUGGCGUAAUG